rnacentral:lncRNA from 10 species
GCGGCUUUUGGGGUGCUUUAGCAGUGUCUGGGGUGCGCGGAUGCUGCGCAGAAUAUAUUUGUCAAUGGGUUGGGUCUCACUCCUAGUACCAGGCCUCUUGGAGAGUGGUCUGGAUGUUUCACUCCAUCUUACCGAUGAGGAAACAGGCCUGGAGAGCAGAUGGGCUUCCUCUGAGGUCACAGCCUCCUGACCUCAGAGGUCAGAACUCCGAGAUGAGUUCCCCUUCAUCUCGCUGGCUUCUAUCCCUAGAUCCUGACUCUGAUCUCCAACAUGUCCUCUUCUGCCUUUGGUCCUCAGUUUCCUUGUUUCUAGAAGGAGAAAGUUGGAACAUGAAUUCAACAAAUAUUUACUAGGUACCUGCUAGAAGCCAGGCCCUGUCCUAGGCACUGAAGAUUCAGCAACGAAUAAGACAGCCAAGGCCUCUGCCCUCAUAGAUCUUGCAUCAAGCUGGGGAGACAGACAGUAAAUAAGUAUGGAUCAGUGGCUACUAUGUGCCAGAUCUCAGCAAGACAGAGGAGGAUGAAGAGGUUAAUAAGACGCAGGGAUCAUCCUGCUGGAAUGGAAGUCACAGGGGAGGGGCUAAGGGGACCAGGAACAUGGGACAAGGGCACCUGGCACAGCCUGGGGCAGAGUCGCCGCUGAGGAAACAGCUGGGUCAGGCUGGGCCUUCUCUACAUGGUUGCAGGCUGGGCACCAAUAUUUCCUAUGGGCUUUGGGGCUCUGGCAGUCCAGGCGUCUGUGCCUGCACCACCUUAUCUCCUGUUGAAGGGCUCCCCAUCAGCCUGGAACAGGGCAGGUGCCCAUGUGUGCUGAUUGUGCCAUGGUUAGGUCUGAAGCCAGACCGCCUGGUAUUCAAAUCCCACUUCUGUCACUUUCUAACCUGAUGACCUUGGGCAAAUCAUUUUACCUCCCAAAGCUUCAGUUUCUUCAUCUGUAAAAGGGGGAUUAUAAUAACCCCUAACUCAUAGGAUUGUGUGACGGUUCAGUGAUGUAAUAAUAAUUUAGGUAAAGCAUCCAACAGUGCCUGGAACUGUGAAUCAUGAGAGCUACAAAUAGUGUCAUUAUAACCAUCAUCACCAUUGCACUGUCCAAAGAAACUUCUCCGGUGUUGCGAAGGUAGCAGAGGGUGUGACUGGAUGCGGUAAGGGAGGAGAGAGAAUCUGUUAUCCACAAGUCUGUCCUGUCUGGCACAGUUGGCCAAACUAGAGCCCUAAGUCAGGACCUACCCUGGGUCCCCCGGAAGGUAGGGGCAGCAACAAGGUCGUGCCCAUUCGGCUAUUCCCUGCCUCUGUCCUCUGCCUUUCACACUCCAUUUAUUUUUAGGAAAAGGCACAGGUGAGCGACAGCCACUGGGGAGGCCAGGUGAUAAGCAUAUGGUCUUAUGUAUUUCUCUG